AGUCGAACGGAUUUUUAUCAUAGCUUGCUAUGAUAAAAAUUAGUGGCAGACGGGUGAGUAAUGCAUAGGAAUCUACCUAGUAGUAUGGGAUAGCCACUAGAAAUGGUGGGUAAUACUGUAUAAUCCCUGCGGGGGAAAGAUUUAUCGCUAUUAGAUGAGCCUAUGUUAGAUUAGCUAGUUGGUAGGGUAAAGGCCUACCAAGGCAGUGAUCUAUAGCUGGUCUGAGAGGAUGAUCAGCCACACUGGAACUGAGAUACGGUCCAGACUCCUACGGGAGGCAGCAGUGGGGAAUAUUGGACAAUGGGCGCAAGCCUGAUCCAGCUAUGCCGCGUGAGUGAGGAAGGCCUUAGGGUUGUAAAACUCUUUCAGUGG
rnacentral:rRNA from 1 species